GCUUGUGCAUCGAACGGUUGGCAUACUGUCUUUAUUUUCACCAUAUGCCCAUAGCAUUUUGGUGUUUUCUCUUGGGUUCCUGUGUUGCCUACUGUUGAAAUAGUAUUAUURUGGCCUUGAAUAUAUGUUCCAUUUAGAUCUCCCCACUGGGGAUGAUGGUGGAUUUUGAUGCAAUGCAUGCAUUCCAUGAGCUUUUGUGGUAUGCAUGUAGUUGUUGUUCUUUUGGAUAUGGUGCAUGAAAUGAAUGUGGCUUGAAUUGUCCCGUUUAGUUCUUCAAAUUAUGGUUACCUUGAAAGACUUUUGCCUUGGUGCUUGUUUUAUUUUCGUUCAAGAAGAUAAUGCUUGUAUCAUGAGCUUGGUCAUUGAUGGAUGC
rnacentral:misc_RNA from 1 species